GCUAUCUCAGGUGGAGGAGAGGAUUUAAUGAAAUAAAAAUCCAUGUAAAGCAUUGAGCCUAGGGGCUGGCACACACAAAGAAAAAGCCAGUACUGUGACUGCCUAAGCUUUCCCCUGCACAGCCACCCUAUGAGACAUGGGGCAGAAGCACUGGGAGCUAUUCAGGGGCACCAGACCCCUUCCAUCUGCCCUCACUCACCUUCCUUGGGGACUUGCAUGAGACUGUCACUGACUUUACAUGCUGCUGCAGCUCCUUGGUCAGCUGGUCCUUGUCACGGGACAGAAACUGUGGGGUCAGGACAAUCAACACCUUCACGACCUGCAGAACAAGGGCAGAGGCUUAUGGUACUGGGAGAUCCACAGGGAAGACACUGGGACAUCCUAGAAGCUGGGAAAUGAAAAGAAGAGUGAAGAAUGCAACCACACAUGGAUGGAUGGUCUUUUCCAUAACAUAAUGCCUGCCUCUCAGGCUCCAAUUCCAAAGCGAAUCAUUUACAGUUAAUUUCUGUCUCCUGGGUUGAUCAUUCUCCCUAACCAUCACUUGCUGCCCCUCAAAAGAAUUGUCUACAUUCCCUAUCUCCUCCUUACCCUGUGAAAAAUGGUAUGUCAGCUUCUAUACCCCAUUGGGAGGCUGGGAAAUCACUGACUCUCCCCUGCCCCAUACAUUAAUUCAUCUGUAUUAAAAAUAAGUGAAAACUC
rnacentral:lncRNA from 1 species